rnacentral:ncRNA from 1 species
CGUAACUUCGGGAGAAGGAUUGGCUCUAGGGGCCGAGUCAGACAGGCCGAGAUCAGAUACGUGUAUGUCCAGUUAGAAGCUGGUUUGUUUGCUUCUUUGUAUCCUUCGAUAUGCAUUGAUGUGUAGCUACUGGACUCUGACCGCGAUCGAUCGUGGGGCGUUACAGCUGUUAGUGUUGCACGGCGAGCAACACACGUGGACUUGCUCUGCGUUGCGUCAAGCGGCUGUGUUUCCAUUGUUUGUCGCGCGACGGCUAACUCAGAAAUGGCAAGGACCAGGGAAAUUCGACUGUCUAAUUAAAACAAAGCAUUGCGAUGUCCAUUGACCGGUUAUGACACAAUGUGACUUCUUUCCAGUGCUCCGAAUGUCAAAGUGACGGAAUUCAACCAAACGCGGGGAAACAGCGGGAGUAACUAUGACUGACCACUACAACAUAUGUUAAUCCUUAGCAUGAACCAUUCUUGCGUUCGGGUAUUACCGUAGCAAAUAACAAUUGUGGCGGCGAGUUCCGGUUCUGCUA